rnacentral:rRNA from 1 species
GACGAACGCUGGCGGCGUGCUUAACACAUGCAAGUCGAACGGAAAGGCUCUGCUUUUUUGGGGUGCGCUAGUGGCGAACGGGUGGGUAACACGUGAGUAACCUGCCCUUGACUUGGGGAUAACUUCAGGAAACUGGGGCUAAUACCGGAUAGGAGCUCCUGCUGCAGGGUGGGGGUGGGAAAGUGUCGUCGGUUGGUGAUGGACUCGCGGGUUAACAGCUUGUUGGUGGGGGGGUGGCUUACCAAGGCUUUGACGGGUAGCGGGCCUCAGAGGGUGACCGGCCACAUUGGGACUGAGAUACGGCCACGACUGCUAAGGGAGGCAGAAGGGCGGAAUAUUGCACAAUGGGCGGAAGGCUGAUGAAGCAACGCCGCGUGCGGGAUAGCGGCCUUCGGGUUGUAAACCGCUCUCGCGUGUGACGAAGCGUGAGAGAAGGUAAUGGGUAAAGAAGCAACGGGUAACUACGUG